AGGCAGCUCUCUGGUGCAGAGGCGCCAGCCUGUGACGGGCGGUGGGACGCCCCGCGGAAAGCGGUGGCUCCCAAACUAACGUACUGCCGACCCCUUUGGAGAGCAGGGCUCUGAGCGCGGCACCCCCCCCCCCUUUAUGUGUUUGCCUCCAGCAUUCCUCAUGGUGUUAAAAUAGGGUUUGGGGUGGAGGCUGACAGCUCACGGCCCCUCCUGUAAUAACCUUGCCACCCCCUUGGGGGUCCCGACCCCAUUUUGAGAACCCCUGGUGUAAAGCAAAGUGAAGCGCUUGUGUAAGUGUGCGCAGCUCGGGUGAGGGUAGGUAUUUCUGCAUGGUGAAAAACAGUACCCACAGCAGUGAGUCUCAGCCCUGGGAUCAGCUCACUAGGGCUUGGAUCAGGCUAAAAGUAACCCUGUAGAUGUUCCUGCUCCAGCUUGGAGACUUAACCCCCUCUGGGUUUCCGAGCCCAGGCUCCAGCCCGAGCUGAACGCCUACACUGUUGUUUGUAGGCCUGUAGCAUGAUCCCAAAUCAAGUGCUCUGGGUGCUGAGCCUCGCUGUUACAUGGUUUUCUUUGCAGUGUAGAUGUGUCCUGGUAUUCUGUUGGUCCCUCAAUGUCAAAGCCCCCCUCCUGGAGCCAGUUUUCUUGAGACGGUCAUCUUGUUCUCAUUCCCUAAUACUAGGGAAUAAUUUACUGUCUGUAAACACGGACAAUUUGCCAUAUAAGGAUUUUGUUUUUAAAUGUGUAGGAUUUUCUCUUGAGUAAGGGGUUAUCACAAUUAUUAGCCACUCUGAGACCUAGCAAACUUGUAUGGGUAUUGGGGUGAAGGCAUUGCUUGUAGCUGCCUCUUUCUGGUAACAGACAUACAACAGUGUGGCAAAAUACAGUAGAACCUCAGGGUUACAAACACCUCAGGAAUGGAGGCUGUAACUCUGAAAUGUUCAUAACUCUGAACAAAACAUUAUGGUUGUUCUUUCAAAAAUGUACAACUGCGCAUUCAGCUUUGAAACUACAAUGCAGAAGAAAAAUGCUGCUUUUCACCAUCUUAAAUUAAACAAGCACAGAAAGUUUCCUAACCUUGUCAAAUCUUUAACAACUUUCCCUUUUGUUAAUAAUGUAUGUUUAACACAGUAAUGUACUGAAUUUGCUUUUUUUGUGUGUCUCUGCUGUUGCCUGAUUCCAUAUUUCUGUUUCCAAAUGAGGUGUGUGGUUGACCCGUUAGUUUGUAACUCUGAGGUUCUACUGUACAUAGUCUUAGGUGGCUAAGCCAGGCUAUUAUUAGACAGAAGGAAAAAAAGAGGAAUAGGAAAGAGAUGAAAUAAGGUGAGGAAGGAAAAGGACAUGUGGGAGGGGAAACAGUUUUCCAGGUUAUGUUUUGGGAUUUAGCCAUAGCCAGUGCAGGAAGCGAUGCCAUCUCAGUCUCACUUUCUGUCCCAGCCUGGUCAGGACAUAUCUCCGGAUCAGGAUGAUGAAGACCUCAACGGUGUUAUAGUAGAUCCUGGGAGAUGGUGGGAGUGGCAGCCAUCAUGGUAAAGCUUGUGGCAGUGGUUGUUGGCAGACAGCUGCUACUUUGCCUUAUACAGAUGAAAGCUGACAGCUGAAUGAAAAUAAAUGGACUCCUGCUGCAUUUGUAUCUAAACACAGUUUAAAAGAUGGACUUUAAAAACAAAUGUUUUGAAAAGCAACCAUAUUCUAAAAAAGAAGGCAUCUGUUGUAUCAUACAAUCUCAUUUGCCUAAACUGACGUCAGCAAAAAUUGUCUUCACAUGUAUCAGAAUAACCUAUCCUCCAAAAUGUUAUGGGGUGAGCUUGCUUAAUUCAUAUGUAUUAUAACUGUGCAAAUCUGACACAUUAUGUUUUUAAAAGAUGUUUGUGUCUGUUUUGCUUUGUGAUUCUUAAGGCUCGUCCUGAGCUACAUUUGACCCUUACAUUGUAAUAAAUUAGACUAAAAAUGAUAUAAUUUAAGUUACUUACUAGUAAUUUAUAAUAAAGUAUCUGUUAAGUGGGGAGUGAAAACAUGUAAAGAUUCUGAUGUUAAACAUUUUAGAACUUUGAAAGUAUACAACCCAAAAGGGUUGGUCAAGAAGAUUAAGGCAAAAGCAUGCUAGUGUACACUGAUAAGAUAAAUUUGUAUAUUAAAUCAGUAAUACUGGGGUUCUUGUAUGAAAUUCAGCAAAAAUAGAGAAUUCUGUUUCUAGAUCUCUUACCAGCCCCAUAACUAAGAAUACAUCAGCCCUUUCUGUGCCACAGCAUCACUUCCAGCAAAGAUGCUGGACAUCAUGAAUUAAAUCCUUGGGACUUCCUUUUUGAUUGAUUUUGCUGGGCCGCAUGCUACAUAUAUGUCAGCCAUCCCUAUCUUUCUAUUACUUCCAUGCAUAUGUGCACAGCUUUCCCCUCCAAAAAUAAAUCUCCUAAUCAACACAUA